rnacentral:lncRNA from 1 species
AUGGCUCCUGCUGCUGCGCUUCCGGGCACUGCAGGGAUCGUCCAGCCACCACCAGCACCUCUGCUGCCAGGGAGCUCCAGCACCCCUCUGCCUCCACCAGGAGUGGCCGUUCUCCCCCCUUCAGCUGGCUUCGGAUUCAGGGCAGCCUCCGCACCUCGGGUGCGUCCGUGGGGAUUGUCCCCACAGCGGGUUCGUGAGCCAGCAGUACAGCUGCAGAGGCCGAACUGGACCAAGAACCAAGAGAGGUCUGCAAGGGCAGUGAGAAAACAAGAGAUGGAGGCAUCCUUGAGGAGACCACGGAGAUCGUCAGCUGCUCAAGCAGGACGUUAUGCCUGGGAAAAGGCAGAAGCCAGUUGGACUGCCAGAGUAAGUAAAACAGAGCUUCACUCUGGGAUCUGUGCUUUGCUAGGAAGGGUAAUUUAUUGUUCUACUUGCUCUUGGGGCAAGUUCUUGUGUUCCAGCUCCCAUGGCCAACCUUCAGUGUGCCCCUGAAAAGGACUGAAGGGCCAACAGCUGUAUCCAAGGGCAGGGACAUUGUCUGCAGCCCUCCUGUUCUUGGAGUGAGCAAAUAGGGCAGAGGGUAGAGACUCAGCCCAGCACUCCCAGCUUUUUUUGGGGUGCGGAGCAGGGGUGCUGGAAGCUGCCUCAACCCUGACCAGUUCGGGUACUUCAGGAUGUGCUGCUGAGCCGGGCCAGCCCCAGCUCUGCUGCUGCAGGCAGCUCCUCCAGCAGUGCUGGUGGCUCCUGCCCUCUUCCAUCCUUGCCUCCCUGUGGGGAGAAACCCACGGGUCAGUUAAUCUAGGCUUGCUCUCCUCCAAAUGCUGGAGCUUUGCUGCACCAGCACCUUCUGGUGUGCCUCAUUCCCCUCGUGCAGGGAAGGAAGCUGGGGCUGGAGCACCGUGCUGUGCUCAGCUGCAUGGGCAGCAGGGGGCUGCCUGUCCAGACCCUCAGCCCCACGGCUGGAGAAGCCGCCCUGCAGGGGCUCUCCAUCCCAGCACAGUGGCCAGGCUCUGCCCUGCUUAUAUCCCCCUCAUCAGCACCUGCUGUGCACUGCACGCCCGGUGCAGCUCCGCAGCUCCCAGGCGCUGCGUUUUGUUGUUGCUUUAACUCAGCAUAUUUGUAGCGGUGAGGUAAUGGAGCCAUCCAUAACAGCCUGGCUGCUGUCACACCCAAGAGCAGAAAUAUUCCAUCCUGCGUGGACGGGGCUUGGCAGGCAUGUGCGG